rnacentral:rRNA from 1 species
GAUGAACGCUGGCGGCGUGCCUAAUACAUGCAAGUCGAGCGAACGGACGAGAAGCUUGCUUCUCUGAUGUUAGCGGCGGACGGGUGAGUAACACGUGGAUAACCUACCUAUAAGACUGGGAUAACUUCGGGAAACCGGAGCUAAUACCGGAUAAUAUUUUGAACCGCAUGGUUCAAAAGUGAAAGACGGUCUUGCUGUCACUUAUAGAUGGAUCCGCGCCGCAUUAGCUAGUUGGUAAGGUAACGGCUUACCAAGGCAACGAUGCAUAGCCGACCUGAGAGGGUGAUCCGCCAAACUGGAACUUGGACCAGGUCCAGACUCCUACGGGGAGGCAGAAUAGGGAAUCCUCCGGAAUGGGGGGAAGCCUGACGGGGCAAACGCGGCUGAGUGAUGAAGGGUCUCGGAUCGUAAAACUCUGUUAUUAGGGAAGAACAUAUGUGUAAGUAACUGUGCACAUCUUGACGGUACCUAAUCAGAAAGCCACGGCUAACUACGUG